rnacentral:rRNA from 1 species
CUUUAUUGGAGAGUUUGAUCCUGGCUCAGGACGAACGCUGGCGGCGUGCCUAAUACAUGCAAGUCGAGCGGACUUGAUGGAGUGCUUGCACUCCUGAAGGUUAGCGGCGGACGGGUGAGUAACACGUAGGCAACCUGCCCUCAAGACUGGGAUAACUACCGGAAACGGUAGCUAAUACCGGAUAAUUUAUUUUGCAGCAUUGUGAAAUAAUGAAAGGCGGAGCAAUCUGUCACUUGAGGAUGGGCCUGCGGCGCAUUAGCUAGUUGGUGGGGUAACGGCCCACCAAGGCGACGAUGCGUAGCCGACCUGAG